UUUGGUAAACACAUUUUUGUUGUAAAAUACUUUAUAAUAUAAAUACAUGCAUGUUAUUGCUCUUAUACAAUCUUGUGAUAAUCACUGAUUUUCAAAUGCCUAUCUUCUUUCACGGUAAAAUAUUGUUUAUGUUCAAACACUAAACCAAAUCAAACUCUGUAAAUGAAUCCAUGCAUUAUACAGCCCUCCAGUAUUGUUUUAGAUUGAACGAUAUGUUGAUGUCGAUGAAUCAGUAUAAUAAAGAAACAUUAUCUCGGAAUGCACCGCAGGUUUGGUAAAUUUGGUACCCCUGUUAAUUGUAUUGAAAUUAAAUUAUCUAUUACUUAUUUAUGUCAGAUAUAAUUGUAAAACAAUAUAUAAG
rnacentral:lncRNA from 1 species